rnacentral:SRP_RNA from 2 species
ACUGGGCAUGGUGGCUUGUGCCUGUAGUCCCAGCUACUGGGGAGGCUGAGGUGGGAGGAUCACUUGAGCCCAGGAGUUUGAAGCUGCAGUGAGCAAUGAUUGUGCCACUGCACUCCAGCCUGGGCCACAUAGUGAGACCUUACCUCUU